GAAAUGCGAUAAGUAGUGUGAAUUGCAGAAUUCAGUGAAUCAUCGAAUCUUUGAACGCACAUUGCGCCCCUUGGUAUUCCAUGGGGCAUGCCUGUUCGAGCGUCAUUUGUACCCUCAAGCUUUGCUUGGUGUUGGGCGUCUUGUCGGAAUAUCCGACUCGCCUUAAAUACAUUGACAGCCGGCACUUUGGCCUAGGAGCGCAGCACAUUUUGCGAUCGUAAGCCGUUGUGACAGCAUCCAUAAGAUUUAUUUUACCACGUUUGACCUCGGAUCAGGUAGGGAUACCCGCUGAACUUAAGC
rnacentral:misc_RNA from 1 species